AUUGAACGCUGGCGGCAGGCCUAACGCAUGCAAGUCGAGCGGCAGCGGGAAAGUAGCUUGCUACUUUUGCCGGCGAGCGGCGGACGGGUGAGUAAUGCCUGGGGAUCUGCCCAGUCGAGGGGGAUAACUACUGGAAACGGUAGCUAAUACCGCAUACGCCCUACGGGGGAAAGCAGGGGACCUUCAGGCCUUGCGCGAUUGGAUGAACCCAGGUGGGAUUAGCUAGUUGGUGAGGUAACGGCCCACCAAGUCGACGAUCCCUAGCUGGUCUGAGAGGGUGAUCAGCCACACUGGAACUGAGACACGGUCCAGACUCCUACGGGAGGCAGCAGUGGGGAAUAUUGGACAAUGGGGGAAACCCUGAUGCAGCCAUGCCGCGUGUGUGAAGAAGGCCUUCGGGUUGUAAAGCACUUUCGGCGAGGAGGAAAGGUUGGUAGCUAAUAACUGCCAGCUGUGACGUUACUCGCAGAAGAAGCACCGGCUAACUCCGUGCCAGCCGCCGCCGUAAGAC
rnacentral:rRNA from 1 species